GGGAAUGUAGCUCAGUGGUAGAGCACUUAGCUAGCAUGUUAGAGAGCCUGGGCUCAAUCCCCAGUACCCA
rnacentral:tRNA from 1 species